rnacentral:rRNA from 1 species
CCUACGGGAGGCAGCAGUGGGGAAUAUUGGGCAAUGGGCGAAAGCCUGACCCAGCAACGCCGCGUGAAGGAAGAAGGCUUUCGGGUUGUAAACUUCUUUUGACAGGGAAGAGCAGAAGACGGUACCUGUCGAAUAAGCCACGGCUAACUACGUGCCAGCAGCCGCGGUAAUACGUAGGGAGCAAGCGUUGUCCGGAUUUACUGGGUGUAAAGGGUGCGUAGGCGGUCUUGCAAGUCAGACGUGAAAACCACAGGCUCAACCUGUGGACUGCGUUUGAAACUGUGGGGCUUGAGUGAAGUAGAGGUAGGCGGAAUUCCCGGUGUAGCGGUGAAAUGCGUAGAGAUCGGGAGGAACACCAGUGGCGAAGGCGGCCUACUGGGCUUUAACUGACGCUGAGGCACGAAAGCAUGGGUAGCAAACAGGAUUAGAUACCCCGGUAGUC